GCCAGUGUGGUGUAGUGGUUUGAGUGAUAGACUGUGACUUUGGAGAACAGGCUUCCAAUCCCUGCUCAGCCA